rnacentral:rRNA from 1 species
GAUCCUGGCUCAGGACGAACGCUGGCGGCGUGCCUAAUACAUGCAAGUAGAACGCUGAAGGAAGGAGCUUGCUCUUUCCGGAUGAGUUGCGAACGGGUGAGUAACGCGUAGGUAACCUGCCUGGUAGCGGGGGAUAACUAUUGGAAACGAUAGCUAAUACCGCAUAAUAGUAGAUAUCGCAUGAUAGCUGCUUGAAAGGUGCAACUGCACCACUACCAGAUGGACCUGCGUUG